rnacentral:rRNA from 1 species
UACGGGGGGAGCAAGCGUUGUUCGGAUUUACUGGGCGUAAAGGGCGCGUAGGCGGCCUCUGCAAGUCGACUGUGAAAUCUCCGGGCUUAACCCGGAGCGGCCAAGUGAUACUGUCGUGCUAGAGUGCGGAAGGGGCUACUGGAAUUCUCGGUGUAGCGGUGAAAUGCGUAGAUAUCGAGAGGAACACCUGCGGCGAAGGCGGGUAGCUGGGCCGACACUGACGCUGAGGCGCGAAAGCCAGGGGAGCGAACGGG